ensembl:lncRNA
CCAGGCAGGAAGCUUCUUGUCCUCAGGCCCUGAUUGCCACCGCUGGCAGGAGGCAGAGGUGAAGCGUUGUGCCCAUGUCAUCCUCUAGCCCUUCACACUUUGGCGUUUGGCAUUUGGAUGAUGGUAUGGAAGCUUCACAAGGGCCAAAGCUUUUUGCUGGAAUAUUCUGAGUGAACUUACAUGUGCCACAGACAGUUCCCACUGAUUUUCUUUGUAAGCAUAAGCACUUAAAUCUUCCACAAAUUAAACACCAGAGUCUUCAGUCAAAAAUCUACAAAAAGAGGAGGACACAGAUAAUAAUUGUGAAGAGGACCUCUCAGGACCAAUUUGGCAGUUCUCUGAUACAGUGUGUCCGAGCACAGAGGGAGGACUUGAAAUCGCAGGGCUCGAGGAACCAGAUGUGGCCUCAGUGAAUGAUGAGAGGAACCGAGCACUCCCUAAGUGUGACCCCAACUCUACAGUAAGACAAGACUUAGAAUAAAAUUUUUGGAUGCACGUUAUGUACUAAAAUGAUUUGAACACUCAGAAAACUUCCAUAACAGGAG